AACCCCCAUGAUUCCCUGGAGAAUUCAGUGGGUGUGGAGGAAGAAAUUGCUUCAAGCAGAGAUCUGACCCGUGACCAGAAAUCUGACUCCAUCAAAGGACAACGUUGCAGGCAUUAGAAAUGGGACUGUUGGAUGGGCAAGUCAGAGUCUCUACGGACGAAGUUCCAGCACGAGGACAUUAGACAGACACCCGGGAUGAUUUAGGGGCACAAAGAAGGAAUUCUUUUGUUUCUGGCAUGAAGAAAGAAGACAUAGAGUAUAUUAACAUACAAAGUCAACCUGUGCUUCAGUGAGUACUCUUGGCUAACUUCAAAGGUGCUGCGGAUUGAACCCAGGACCUCACGCAUGCUUACGCAUGUACUCUACCACUGAGCUACACCCUCCCCCACCAUUUAUGAUGUUUUAUGCUAUUUUAGAAGGAUAUAUGUUUUGAAUUGGUUUACCAAUAUAAUUUCCUCAAAUUUGG